CGGACGGGUGAGUAACGCGUGGGUAACCUGCCUCAUACAGGGGGAUAACGGUUAGAAAUGACUGCUAAUACCGCAUAAGCGCACAGUACCGCAUGGUACGGUGUGAAAAACUCCGGUGGUAUGAGAUGGACCCGCGUCUGAUUAGCUGGUUGGUGAGGUAACGGCCCACCAAGGCGACGAUCAGUAGCCGACCUGAGAGGGUGACCGGCCACAUUGGGACUGAGACACGGCCCAG
rnacentral:rRNA from 1 species